GACGAACGCUGGCGGCGUGCCUAAUACAUGCAAGUCGAGCGGACAAAGAGUAGCUUUCUCCUCUAUGUGAGCGGCGGACGGGUGAGUAACACGUGGGCAACCUGCCUGCAAGACUGGGAUAACUUCGGGAAACCGGAGCUAAUACCGGAUAAUACUUUUUAACUCAUGGUCGAGAGCUGAAAGAUGGGGUCGGCUAGCACUUACAGGCGGGUCCGCGGCGCGUUAGCUGGUUGGUGAGGUAACGACCCACCAAGGCAACGAUGCGUAGCCGACCUGAGAGGGUGAUAGCCCACCUUGGAACUGAGACACGGCCCAGACUCCUACGGGAGGCAGCAGUAGGGAAUGUUCUGCAAUGGACGAAAGUCUGACGGAGCAACGCCGCGUGAGUGAUGAAGGUGUUCGGAUCGUAAAACUCUGUUGUUAGGGAAGAACAGGUACCGGAGUAAAUGCCGGUAGCUUGACGGUACCUAAUCAGAAAGCACCGGCUAACUACGUG
rnacentral:rRNA from 1 species